CUUGUCAAGGUCUCCAGCCCAGCUGAUUCUGUCUUUAAAUGGUGGAUAAUUCCCAAGGUACACUUGCCCUUGGGAGUAGUGGAAAAACGACACAGUAGUGUCGGCCCCCUCUGGCUGGAAGCUCCAGGAGACUGAGGUCAACCCGCCAGUCGUACUAGUAGACUUGAACUUGCAGGUCAGCUUCCCUUGUGUACCAUUUGCCACGAAGAU
rnacentral:lncRNA from 1 species